rnacentral:tmRNA from 1 species
GGGGACGCACUGGUUUCGACGGGGUUGUCGAAGUUGGGAUAGCGGGUAGAGGAUUCUCGUUGGCCUCUUUAAAAAACGGGAAAAAUUUUUAAUUGCCAAUAAACAACCGGCAUUAGCAGCUGCAUAAGCGGCUCUCGUUCUCUAUAGGAUUCUGUCGCCUGUAGAAGAACGUCAUUAGACAGACCUUCCUUCGUAGCAGGUUAAACGAAGCUCCCAGUCGGCGUCUGCUCGACCGCUGACUGCGAAUUUAGAGCUAGCAAGUUCUGUUAUGAUGCCUGUGCUCAGCAGGCUUGUGAAAAUUAAGCAUAGGCUGCACCCGGAGAAUUUCCAAUAGAAGCGAUUUCGGACAGGGGUUCGACUCCCCUCGUCUCCACCA